rnacentral:rRNA from 1 species
UACGUAGGGGGCAAGCGUUGUCCGGAUUUAUUGGGCGUAAAGAGCGUGUAGGCGGCCAGGUAGGUCUGCUGUGAAAACUCGAGGCUUAACCUCGAGAUGUCGGCGGAAACCAUCUGGCUAGAGUCCGGAAGAGGAGAGUGGAAUUCCUGGUGUAGCGGUGAAAUGCGCGGAUAUCAGGAAGAACACCCGUGGCGAAGGCGGCUCUCUGGGACGGUACUGACGCUGAGACGCGAAAGCGUGGGGAGCGAACAGG